GAUGAACGCUGGCGGCGUGCCUAAUACAUGCAAGUCGAGCGAACAGACGAGGAGCUUGCUCCUCUGACGUUAGCGGCGGACGGGUGAGUAACACGUGGAUAACCUACCUAUAAGACUGGGAUAACUUCGGGAAACCGGAGCUAAUACCGGAUAAUAUAUUGAACCGCAUGGUUCAAUAGUGAAAGACGGUUUUGCUGUCACUUAUAGAUGGAUCCGCGCCGCAUUAGCUAGUUGGUAAGGUAACGGCUUACCAAGGCAACGAUGCGUAGCCGAACUCAGAGGGUGAUAGGCCACCCUGGAGGUGGGACACGGACAAGACUCCUACGGGAGGCAGCAGUAGGGAAUCUUCCGCAAUGGGCGAGAGCCUGACGGAGCAAGGCCGCGUGAGUGAUGAAGGUCUUCGGAUCGUAAAGCUCUGUUAUUGGUGAAAAACAAAUGUGUAAGUAACUAUGCACGUCUUGACGGUAACUAAUCAGAAAGCCACGGCUAACUACGUG
rnacentral:rRNA from 1 species